rnacentral:lncRNA from 1 species
UCCAAAUACCGGAAGAAGAUUGAUUGGUUCAAGUAGAGAGAUUUUCCAGUGUUCUGUACAGAGAAGGUCAAUAACAUUGUCAUGGGUACAUGCCAAGAAGGAACAAUCUCAAACAGCCAAUUGGUUGAAGCAUCUGCUGUUAUGGUAAUAAUACAUUCUUUUUUGUUUUCUUUCUUGAGCGAAAUCAAUUCGAAUUAGGAUUCAUUACUUGGGGCUUCACCAUUCAGGGACCAAUUUGGGCCAAUCUCCUCAAGGUCUUUGGAUUCAAAGGCUCAAUCUUGCUGCACUCCAUGUGCUACUAACGAUAGUUGCCAGAUUGUUAAAUCAAGAA